rnacentral:lncRNA from 1 species
GCAUUUUGGAAAGAAAUUCUCUAUUAUAAUUCAUUUAUGAUUUAUUUAACUUCACAUAGAAAUUUGCAAUUAAAAUGAUAUACUAUUUAGUAUUCUGUGCUGAAUAGGGCCGUGCGAUGGCAUCGAUUGUCGAUUAUUAAUUGAUGGGUUUUCAUGCUGAUGCAUCAAACCAUCAACAGUUAUAACAAUCGAUGUAUUUCAUUGGUACCAUCGAUGCUGUUUGCUAAUAAUUUAUUAAAUAUUUUAAUUUUGUAACGGCAGUCAUGCCUGAGUCGUUACACUAGAUGUCGUCAUCUCUACUUUCCAAGUGGCACUGGUCAAAACAUGAAAUGACAUGUUUGCUUAUGAGUUAGAAAUAUUCGUUACUUUUUUUCCGUGGAAGUUUGAAAAAGCACUUUUCUGCUAUUAUUUAAGCUCGAAGAAAGAAUAUCCAACUGUAAGGUUAAUCUCAUCAAUAACAUACCGAAUUCUACAGGAUUAGCCAACCAAUAAUAUUUUUAUUGUUUGUUUGUAGUUUGUUUUAUGGCAUUUCAGCAAUCAAAACUUUUGCUUAGAUCUACGAGAACUAGCAGUACUGUUAGUGCUGCAGAUGACAUGGACCCAGAUCAUCAAGAACGCCAAUACCAUAAUUUUUUCGACCUCGACUUUGGUAAUGAUCAGCAUUCUCAGUUAAUACAAUUGCAGGAAUUACCAUGCAGCAACACACAGAAAACAAACAGAAAAAGUGGAUGUGGGUCAGAGGUAUGGGAAUACUUCUCUGGAAAGACUGUGCACUGUGCAUAUUCUGUACAAGUAAAUUAAAGCUUUGUGGAUAUGUAACCAAUUUGCAUCAGCAUCUGCAGAAUGUUCACCACAAGAUAUUUGACAAUAACAGAAAACAUCAAUGUAAUGGUAGGUAUUAGGUAGUAUUUAUAUUGUUAAACAUUCCUUUAUCAUCACAAAUCGUACACCAAAAUUGCAUUAAUUCAAAUUUGAAAAAUCC